GACACACAAACGCGCCAUACAAACAGACAGGCGCCCUCCCCCUUCCUCUGUGCACCCAUUCUAUCCUCCCUGAUACUUUCCGUUGCCGCAACGUGUUCUACCGUUAGGUGUGUGUUUCUGUUAGCAUAUCUGUGUCUGAGCGCCCCUUUCGCUGGCUUUCCGAUUGAUGCCUGAACUAGAUGUUGCGCUCCUCUACCACCGCCCUCGUUUGUUCUUAGUUGCUGCUGUUUUCCUUCUCACGCUGGAGCUGUGCUGCGCUCUCAGCCAAAGUCGAGGAUGUCGUUCCUGUGAUUGUUGCCUCUUCGCUCGCUUUCACCGUUAUAGAUCGGACACGAGGAGGAAGUCGGCUGCUUCUCGUCUUCUCUUCCGUGUACGUGAGCUUGGGCAGCGACGGGACCGCCGUCAAGCUCACACCUCGAUAGAUGCGGUGACGGCAGAGCAGCUGCGCCCGUGGAAGGCCAAGGUGACGCCUCUGCAAGUUCGCCAACUCGUUGCCAUGAUGUUUGUGGUUUUCAACGAGAGCGUUUCCCCCACCAUGUUGAUGCCGUUCGUCGGAGCUCUGAUUGCCUUUCUCCGUGGCGUCCGCGUGAAGGAUGCUGAAUACUUCUCUGGCAAGAUGAUAGGCGUGCGCAUGAUCGACCGGGUUGCCAGCGCAAAGAAUGCGGAGUUACCCGAACGACACGUAGGGCCGUCGCUUCCCCAUCAUCAGUGGUCUUUUCACAAGCGGGCUUAUGAUGCUGGGGUUUUGGUCUCAGCACGACUGUGUGGAUGUGUGCCUUCUUCCGAUUCAUGCACGGCCUCUUCAACGGCAACAUCCUGGCUGCCAAGACGACGGUGGCAACAUCACCGAUCUCGCAAAUCAUGCUGGCGACACCCCUCCAUGAGCCCUGCGCAACACCUUGGGCUUUCUUUUUGGUCUUGUAGUGGGUGGACUGGUGCACGAGCCACAGCGCUGUGAAGGUGCUUUCUGGGCAGGCACUGGACGCCUUGGGCUUCUUCGGCACCCGUCCCGCGCCCUCCUGCACAGUUUCGUGGUUUUCACGGACACAGACCUUGGCAUGCUCGUGUGCACAUUCUGCCCGAUGGGGGUCCGACCCGAAGGCGGAGCUGCUGCUAGGGUUUCUAUGGCCCAUUUAACCAUGCCGCUGGUACACGUCGAAGCCGUUUUGUGCCGCCGUCCACAUACACUAUGAGACGGAUGACGACGAUGCAGAGAGGGAGAGCGGGCACGACAAGUGUAGCGUUGAAAAUGUAGCAAAGGUUCCUGACUCAGCAGGCUGUGGAGGCCACUAGCGGCGCGUGGCGGAUGGCGAGGCUGCGAGCGAUGCACAGACGGAGCAGAUCUCCAUCGACAUCAUAGCCAGUGAUGCAGGUAACGCGGCCGAUCCUGCGAAGACGAAAGAUGCGGUCACGACUUGCAUUUCGAACUCGAGCCUAACGGCUCCCUCGGAGUAUGAGGAAAAGGAGAAGCCGGUGCCAAAACGUUUGGCUACCGCGAAGCCUCCUCCGGUCCAUGCACUCAUCUCAUAUGCUCACCCCGUUCAGGGUCCUCCCCAGCACGCACAUGGCGGCGCGAGAUUGCUUUCUUUUUUGUUUGCACGGGGAGGAUGGACACAGUCGCCGCUGGUGAUCUGAGGUUGACGACACGCCAGGUAAGGAACAUUCUCUUGGUGAGCAGUGCACCGUUCUUGGCGGCCAAGGCCCUCUUUCGCAUUGUGGAGCACCACUACGCGAACAGGAUGGGUCUGCUGCGUGUUAGCGUCUGUGUGGGCGGCACUGCUGUGGGUUGUCUACCGUUGAUGUCGUGCCUCCACGGCAGCUUGUGACCCCCCCUUUCUCGUCUUCUUGUGCACGUCAGCGCUGCAGAUGUGCAUCUCGUGGCGCUACAGCCUCAGCACCAUGCUGACUACCCGCUGGGUGCCACAAGGCCACGCUGGGUUCAUUAUAGAGAUCAACUAUUCCCGUGGUGCACUGGUGCGCGUCUGCGCGCCUGCGCGCUCUUGAUUACUGCCCCGCUGUUUGCGUGGGCCAUAAACGGUGAUGCUUUCUUUUUCCUUGUGCAUGUCUUUGUCUUCUUCCUGCCCGCUUCGGCCUUUGUUGGUGGAGCUCUUACAAGGUUCCUGCUGACGGGGGACAGAGGGUCGAGUGAGAGGACACGGCACAGGAGAAACAAAAGAACAAGCGGCACGUGCAGGACCUGGUACAGGGUGGCGGCCGCGGAGGGAGAGGGCUGAGCCUGCAGUAGUGACUCCCUUUGCGGUGUGCAGAAAAAAAAACGCUCGAUGUGCGCGCUGCGUUUUUGUUAUGAUACCGAUAUUUCUUUUUUUCUUUCCAGGGGGGGGGUGCGGGGAGUUAGACGUCUCCGCGCAUCCUCUUUGACCUUUUCCGGUGAGGAAGGAUGCCUUGGCAAUCCAACAGCGUAGCGCGUACUCGCCUCUCCCCCUUUUCCUUAGUCACUUUGGGGGUGCAUGUGCAUCGAGCAAGGAUGCUGUUGCUUGUGGUUUGCGUCGACGCACAGCCCAUGCGAGGCAUUACGAGGUGGGCUUGUAAAGUGUAUGGUACCCCAGCCAAAGAGCUGGCACCAGUCCCCUGGAACACGGCGACGGCUAUGUCUGCGGCUGAAGUCGUAUCCUCUUCUCCCCCUUCUCGUUUACCAUCCGCUAUCUGUGCUUAAAGAGAGGACAGAAAUGAGCAACGUGCAUAGAGAGAGGGAGAGUCUGGAUGAGAAACAGGGGAUACUUGGGUGCGAGCUAAUGCUCUGCUGCAGAGCUUCUCCUCAUCGCUCAUAUUGCGUCGCAAACGCGGGAGCAGUGAGACGCUUAUCCAUAAGUAAAAGAGAAUGGUAAGCAGGGAUACGUUUGCGGACGUGCGCACGUCCAUGUCUGUGUUAUGCUCCGUGCGCCUUCGCUUUUCCGUUCUCUCUUCUUGCCCUUGUUUUUUUUUCUUCUGCUGCAAGAGAGCUUGUCUUGAGCGGCGCCUCUCGUGCGAAGCCGAGGAGGAUUUCGGAUAUGCAUGCGUGGGCGAGAUGAGUUGUCGUCAGCUUUCUUCCUCCAUCUCUCUUUCUGCGUUCGUUCUCUGCGUGCGCAGUAGAGUUUCUUUUUCUGUGCGUUUGUUUAUCGAGGUUAUCACCUCUAGCACUGAUAUUCUUAUUCUUGAUACCUGCCUCUCCAGUGUUGCAUAAAUGCGAGGCAUUUCUUGUGUGUUUUUUCGUGUGUGUGUUUGUGUGUGUGUGCUUUCCGUCUUUGUUUUUUUUUUCUGUUGUUUUGGCGCAUAGCAUUUUCUGUUUUCCCCUCCCUUCUUUUGCUUUCCUGCGGUGACUCUCAGCUCCUCUGCGUGAGACUCUCUUUUGGUCAGUUGGGGCCCCCUAUUUAGUGCCACACGCGCAGCGACAGACAGAUACGUGCCCGCAUAUCUCCGAGUAUGUGUAAGUCUUUGUAAAUAUUUGUCCUCCGCCCUUUCGAUCGCCGACAGAAACGGUGAGAGAACAGAAAGCAGGGCAUCCUGUCCGGCAUAUACCAACAAACGGAAAAG
rnacentral:misc_RNA from 1 species